GGGUUGAUGUAAGUUGGUCGUGCCUCUGGUAUGCACUGGCCUUACUGAUUCCUCCUUCUUGAAGAACUGUGAUGUCAUUUACUUGGUGUUGCAGGGAAACAGGACUGUCACUUUGAAAAAUUAGAGUGUUUAAAGCAGGCUAACGCUUGAAUACAUUAGCAUGGAAUAAUGAAAUAGGACGUUUGAUCCUAUUUUGUUGGUUUCUAGGAUUGACGUAAUGAUUAAUAGGGAUAGUUGGGC
rnacentral:rRNA from 1 species